CUCUGUUCACCUUCUCACAAUGAGGCUCCCUGCUCAGCUCCUGGGGCUGCUAAUGCUCUGGGUCCCAGGAUCCAGUGGGGAUGUUGUGAUGACUCAGUCUCCACUCUCCCUGCCCGUCACCCUUGGACAGCCGGCCUCCAUCUCCUGCAGGUCUAGUCAAAGCCUCGUAUACAGUGAUGGAAACACCUACUUGAAUUGGUUUCAGCAGAAGCCAGGCCAAUCUCCAAGGCGCCUAAUUUAUAAGGUUUCUAACCGGGACUCUGGGGUCCCAGACAGAUUCAGCGGCAGUGGGUCAGGCACUGAUUUCACACUGAAAAUCAGCAGGGUGGAGGCUGAGGAUGUUGGGGUUUAUUACUGCAUGCAAGGUACACACGUGCCUCCCACAGUGCCUUGGGGAUUGGGGGAGCACGCCGAAUCUGUGGAAGUUUUAUGUCCUUGUAGCCCAGCACCUCCAUCCCUGCCUGCUGACUCAGACCUCAACAUGUGUCCCAUGGAAAGCACGGGCCACGUAUAG